rnacentral:tRNA from 1 species
CGCUCGGAGGUGCUAUGGAUAGCGCGUUGGACAUCUUAUCCAAAAGUCGUGGGUUCGAAUCCCACCUGGGAUGG